AUUCUACUCCCUCCGUUGCACAAUACUACAUGCCUUCUAUUUUUCAAAAUAUAUAUGUAUCUAGACAUGUCUUAGUAUAUAGGUACAUCCAUUUUUGGACAAAUGGAAGUCAAGUAUUUUGGAACGGAGGGAGUACACA
rfam:Triticum aestivum genome assembly, contig: Triticum_aestivum_CS42_TGACv1_scaffold_116902_2AS